rnacentral:tRNA from 5 species
GGGCGUGUAGCUCAACGGUUAGAGCGACUGUCUUAUAAACAGUAGGUAGAUGGCUCGACUCCAUCCACGCCCA